CACAAUAUGACAGUGACCCAAAUGGAGCGCUGGCGCAGUCAGUUUCGUGAGCGCGCGACAGUUUGGUCGACGCACGCGCUUGAAACAUCGCGCCGCGCGCUCGUGAUAUUCUAUUCGCUAUCGUUAGUGUGUUGUGCAUUGGAUAUUACAGAGUACAAUCCAGUGAGUGAGCGCUGGCCGAAACGCCGGUCAAGUGCCAUCGCUAUUCCUGGUGGUUGACCUUUGAAGGUCAGGCUGAAACCGCGAUGACUACGUUUCGGAGCGACACGCGCGCCAAGCGGUGGACGAGCACGGGGCCGAGUCGUUCCCGCCAAAACGAGCGCAGGCUGUGGCGCGAAGGAACGCGAUUGGUCGCGAGUAGCGGCGGUGGUGCGCAAGGCCGCCAGUUUUCCCGCGAACAAUGCCAAAUGGUGCAUUUGUCAAGAAAUGGUGAAAGGCAUUACAACGGUUGGAAAACGUGAAAAAAGCAUUAGAGCAAAAUUGGGUUCGUCAUACAUCUAGACAAAUGCCUCUUUAUUAUUUGUUUUGAUGGCUACUUCGAAUUAAAGAAUUACCUAUUGUGCAUAAAAUCAUAUAUGAGACAAUCCUUUCUUUUUAAGUAAAAGUCUCAUUGCCAUGUACAAAAUUAAACGUUUUUUUUAUACUCUUACUAGCUGACCCC